rnacentral:tRNA from 3 species
CGGGGUGGAGCAGCUUGGUAGCUCGUCGGGCUCAUAACCCGAAGGUCGUCGGUUCAAAUCCGGCCCCCGCAACCA